ACUGGGAGCGUGGCGUCUCCUGUAACGUGGCUACCCACGGGUCGGGUUACGAACUGAUUUGAGGUUGGGGUCCACUGUGUGCCGGGUAAGUCCAUGUUGACGGGACGUCCGCACUAAGCUGACCGUCAAUAUGGGUGCAAUGGGGGAGCCCGAUGCAUUCAGGUUGGCUAAAGAGAGAUGAACCGAGCGAGGGGUGAAAACCAGCAGUCAUCGAUUAAGGAGAACAUAAAGCGUGUGCCGACCAAGGAUAUUUCUGAAAUCGAUGUGAACUAU
rnacentral:SRP_RNA from 1 species